UUCCUUACUUGUAAAACAAAAUAUACCCCUCCUUAUAGAAACAAAUGAAUCAGCAUUCUGAGCCGUAAUAUAAGCAUAAACAAUAAUAUACAAGCACGGAUCGCUCUACCAUGACAACGACUUCUUAUUCUCUUAGUUGCAUAAUAAAGUAAGGUAACUCACUAAAUAGUACACCCUAGAUUAUGAUUUCCCCUUUUUUAAAAAAAAUACAUAGUGUCCGAGCCAGCUUGCGCACACCUCGACUAAUUCCACAAAAUACCUGUCACCUCCCACCACUAACAACCACCAGGUAACUCUGUCCACCAAGGCUAGAAUAGAUGGGAAGAAAUCACUUAAUGUUUGUCUCUGUUAGGAAUUGAACCUAAGACCUCAUGGCGCUCAACCCAACUUCAUUGAACCACUAGGCCACACUAGAUUAUGAUUUCCCUUGAUCACCACACAUGCAUCAGCGGCAGUUACUGUGUACAUAACAGAUAAAAUUGAUAGGUAACAGUUGGUAAAACAAAUCUUAACUCACCCAGCGAGUAACAAGAUGUGUUAAUUUUCAAGUCUAUAAUAUAGAAACAAACUAUUGUUUACACUUAUACUAAUGGAACAAUUGACACAUAAGCUAAAUGUAAACCCAAAAGUCGAUUAGGAUAUAGACAGACAACAAUGAUCCAAGAAUCAGUACAACAAUUACUCCUUCUGACCACCCCCAACAAGACAGUUAAGAUAAUAACAGGACAAAAAUCACGAUAGAAAGUUAACUUUAAGUUUCAAAUGCAUUACCGGUGCUGCUAAAUGCAGCAUGGAUCUCCAAAUGGAGAAAAUGGACAAUGUCCACAAGCUUUUCCAUCACCUUCAAUUAUCGCAAAACAGAUGUUAGUAUAGUCAAUUGAAAUUUGAAACAAACUUCGACAAUUUAUCUUAAACAGACCACCCAACUUUUGCAGUAAGUAGAAACCACAUUGCCAGUAUUAAAUUCAUGAAUAAAAGAAAAGAUAAAGCAGGAUGACUUGCUACCUCUUCCAAUAUUUUGGACCAGAGAGACUUCUUUUUUAGACUUUUAACAUGUUUCUUUUGACUUUUCAACUCUGCUCUCAAAAUUGCAAGGCCGUCUCCUGCAAAUUUAUAUGUUAAAAAGGAAUAUUAGAACAAGAAUAUAGGAAAUCAGUACAAAGAAAGCAGAUACAAACGAUAUAAGUAAAAGAAGAAAAUGCAAGAGUAACCGGAGGGUACUGGAUUAAAUAACAAGAGUCUCGCAUCCUCCACAGAAUCACAUAAGUUAGACAAACAAUCUUUACACCACUAAAAGUACGGAAUAGUCUCAAUAAACAGAACCCCAUUACACAAGGAAAAACGAAAAUUUAAAAGUAACCACUCCAGAAAACAAUGCCCUCAAUGCUGUUUAGAAUCAGUAAGAUGUGUACAUGCCUAUAUGCUCCUUUCCCCCAGAACAAGUCCAUUUGGUUUGAAUUAGUUAUCAGAUUUAAUCAUGCUGUUUUCCAAAUCUGAUUGAUUCCCAAUGCUCUCCAGCUAUCUAUGUUGCACGGACUCUUCAAAACCCCUCUCGCAUCCGUGUCAGCACGACAUGGAUGUAGCUGUGGGAUCCAUAGCAGAUUUGGUCAACUUAUCUUGUGUACUUUGACCACACUUCAGACCAAUAAGUACAGAUUAAUUGAGUAUUCAGGUUGAAUUUUGGGUUUAUGUCAUAUAUAUAUAUACAUUUAUGAGAACGUGGUCAUUUUCAAAAAACAUGAAGUAUGAGAACGUUUUUCUUUUACGCAAGAUAAGAAUAAAAUACUGGUGUUUAUAAGGAAUGAAGUUCCAUUAUUUUAGCUCCAUAACUUUCACUAAUCGAAAUAUUCACUUUAUCUGUCUAAUAAACAUUUACAGUUUAUAUCCCAGCAACCAUAUCCAAACUCGGAUCCAUGCCUCCGAAUCCUAAUAUUUAUGUGGCAAAGAAUCCGGCCUUUAGAUCAGCAACCAGAUUGGAUACCCGCAUCAGAGCCCGAGCAGCAUAGCCAGCUAUGACUUUCCUCCAUAGAGCUUGCUUCUCUUUUGCAAAUGAAGGUGUUGGAGGACUUCAAUGGCAGCAUCAGACUUAAAAGCGGACUUGAGCCAACCAGAUCUUAAGCCAUGUUCAGAAUAUAUAACUAGGAAAAAAACAAUAGUAGCUAGAGUCUACCCAUUCAAGAUUUCUUCAUUAAGCUAUUUAGGCCCACAAUACCUAACAUGCUGGUUAGUUCCUAAUGAUAUGAGAAACUGGAGGCCAUUCAUUGUACAGAAAUAGUUUAUAUGAACUUUGAGCUAAUGCAGAUCCACUGAUUAUUAGGUUAAAAAUAGAGGAACACAAUGAGAGUAUCUGUGGGUAGAUGACCUCUCUGAGUAGCAUUUGAAGUAUCCUCUUCUUGGGCUUUACGUCGACAAUCUUGUUCAAUUAUUGUGAUUUCGGAUAGAUACUAGAGCAUACAGCUUCAUGAAACAUAAAAAGAGGUGAGAGUAUAUAUAUUGGGAUUAAGAUGAUGAUUAACAAGGAAGAUAAAUGUUUGAUAUAUUUAUGACGAGAAACAAAAAAAAAAAAAAAAGAAUUAGCUUAAUGGAGGAAAAGAUGUCAACUUCAUUCCACAUUAAUUAAAAGAUAUGAAUGAAGUCAAAAGACAAAAUGAUAAGAGUCAAAAAUGUUGCUUCUCUAAUAAUUAUAUGUGUAUGAGAUGCUUACAAGCGUAUCAAUCUGAGUAAUGAUAUUUGCAUAAUGUAAUGCAAGACCAGCAGAUCCUAAUCUCUGAUGGUUGGUUUUUAUUGGUCGGUCUCCAUCUGCAAGGUUUGGCAAAACUAUAGCAAUCAGGUCACUCAUAAACAUAAAAUUUAGACACGAAAGAUAUGAUUCAACUCGAAAUGCUCAGCACCUAUAGAAUAAAGUCAAAAAAAAAAAAAAUAACUGUUUCGAUUGAUUUUUUUCUAUUCCUUACUUGUAAAACAAAAUAUACCCCUCCUUAUAGAAACAAAUGAAUCAGCAUUCUGAGCCGUAAUAUAAGCAUAAACAAUAAUAUACAAGCACGGAUCGCUCUACCAUGACAACGACUUCUUAUUCUCUUAGUUGCAUAAUAAAGUAAGGUAACUCACUAAAUAGUACACCCUAGAUUAUGAUUUCCCCUUUUUUAAAAAAAAUACAUAGUGUCCGAGCCAGCUUGCGCACACCUCGACUAAUUCCACAAAAUACCUGUCACCUCCCACCACUAACAACCACCAGGUAACUCUGUCCACCAAGGCUAGAAU
rnacentral:lncRNA from 1 species